CUGGAUUCAGCGGCGGAGGGUGAGUAAUGCCUAGGAAUCUGCCUGGUAGUGGGGGACAACGUUUCGAAAGGAACGCUAAUACCGCAUACGUCCUACGGGAGAAAGCAGGGGACCUUCGGGCCUUGCGCUAUCAGAUGAGCCUAGGUCGGAUUAGCUAGUUGGUGAGGUAAUGGCUCACCAAGGCGACGAUCCGUAACUGGUCUGAGAGGAUGAUCAGUCACACUGGAACUGAGACACGGUCCAGACUCCUACGGGAGGCAGCAGUGGGGAAUAUUGGACAAUGGGCGAAAGCCUGAUCCAGCCAUGCCGCGUGUGUGAAGAAGGUCUUCGGAUUGUAAAGCACUUUAAGUUGGGAGGAAGGGCAGUAAAUUAAUACUUUGCUGUUUUGACGUUACCGACAGAAUAAGCACCGGCUAACUCUGUGCCAGCAGCCGCGGUAAUACAGAGGGUGCAAGCGUUAAUCGGAAUUACUGGGCGUAAAGCGCGCGUAGGUGGUUUGUUAAGUUGGAUGUGAAAUCCCCGGGCUCAACCUGGGAACUGCAUUCAAAACUGACAAGCUAGAGUAUGGUAGAGGGUGGUGGAAUUUCCUGUGUAGCGGUGAAAUGCGUAGAUAUAGGAAGGAACACCAGUGGCGAAGGCGACCACCUGGACUGAUACUGACACUGAGGUGCGAAAGCGUGGCGGAGCAAACAGGAUUAGAUACCCUGGUAGUCCACGCCGUAAACGAUGUCAACUAGCCGUUGGGAGCCUUGAGCUCUUAGUGGCGCAGCUAACGCAUUAAGUUGACCGCCUGGAGAGUACGGCCGCAAGGUUAAAACUCAAAUGAAUUGACGGGGGCCCGCACAAGCGGUGGAGCAUGUGGUUUAAUUCGAAGCAACGCGAAGAACCUUACAGGCCUUGACAUCAAUGAACUUUCAGAGAUGGAUUGUGCCUUCGGGUACUUGAGACAGGUGCUGCAUGCUGUCGUCAGCUCGUGUC
rnacentral:rRNA from 1 species